rnacentral:lncRNA from 1 species
GAUGCCUCCGCAGUCCUGGAGCACUACCAAGAUUGACAAUAAAGGGAUCAAGUGGGCGAGCAGCAAUUCUCACACUGGCCUUGAAGGAUGUGACCUAGUGGCAGUCAUCCAAAAUGAGGAUUUUCACACUCGACCAGCCUGGUGUGAGGAAAACCAUGGGGCCUUUCAUCUCACAGCACCAUGACUGGAGCCAACAAACCCCUGAAACACCUCCCCAGGAGAGAGUCCUCACCACGUGCUGGAGGCUGCGGCAUGGACAGCUGCAGCUCCCUUUCAAAGCUGUGCAAUGAGGAACAUAGGAUCUGUGGGGCUCAAGAGAGGCAGGACAUCAGAUGAUGAGCUACCACGACUUAAUGACUCCUCACACAUCUACCUGACCGCAUAGUGUGCUUGUUGUAUCACAAAUGCUGCCUAAAAUGUGUAAAUUUAACCCUGUUUCAAAGAGCUUGGGCUCAACGCGUUUCCCCGGCGCUGGUGAGGGGCUGGCAGUGAAGAGGAGUUGAGUCUGCAUUUAUCGCCG